rnacentral:lncRNA from 1 species
CGUGAGUCCCUAUUGAUUAACUGUUAUGUCCUUCAAGCAUGAAUUAAUUAACAUCUUUUGGUUAUUAUAUGCCACCCCGGAAUAUUCAAUAUAAGCUCAGCUUCUACAAUUGAUUCGUCAGUAAUUAAAUCCGAGUUUGCCUACAGUGGAUUUGGCAGGGACCAGGCCUUCCGCGAUGAGACUAUGGUUGAGAUUAAACAAAAUUAUCUCUAAGUAAAGCAUGAAAGUGCCUGGAAUAUAAAAGGCAAAGUAGAAUAAAAAGUAGCUGCUCUCCUGCUGAUGGUGAUUUCUAUGGCGAUGGUGACAAGGACGUUGACUCUCUACUUGGGAUUCAAGAAGCCUGGUCACAUCUGGAAAGGUUGACAAUCUAGGAAGGGAAGAGGAGUUCAUGCUUCAUGUGGUACACCUCCAACUCUCCUCUGAAGGAAAGAAGUAAAUUGUUAUAACAAAGAACACCAGCGAAGUCUUGUCAACAUCACUUUCUGAUGGCAAAGCCCGGUAAAGUUGAAUACAUGAAACUACAUUUCCCAAGAUCCUUUGCCAACUGGCUCGCCAUGAGAUUCAGCCAACGGUAGGUACUAACGGAUGAUUUGAAGUCUGGAGAAGGGCCAUCUUAUGGGAGCAUGUUUCCUUCCCUCUCUGCCUCAGCUUGUGUCAUCUGGAGAAGAGCUCGUCUGUCCUCUAGUAUGUCCCAGGGCUUGCUCCAAUCACGUUGAAGUCCAGCUUCCACUAGCUGGCCCUUGCUCCCAGUUUCCAACAACACUGUCUGCUCUUCUGCUUCCUCCAUUUUGGGGUGCAGUAGUUUCCUGUUUGGGUCAUUGCUAAGACCCUAUUUGCUUUCUCUGGUUUUCCAUCACCAUAUGACCAAUUUUCUGCAUUAAAUUUAUUCUGUUCCAAGUAUU